rnacentral:rRNA from 1 species
CCUUAGAGUUUGAUCCUGGCUCAGAUUGAACGCUGGCGGCAGGCCUAACACAUGCAAGUCGAGCGGUAACAUUUCUAGCUUGCUAGAAGAUGACGAGCGGCGGACGGGUGAGUAAUGCUUGGGAAUAUGCCUUAGGGUGGGGGACAACAGUUGGAAACGACUGCUAAUACCGCAUAACGUCUACGGACCAAAGGGGGCUUCGGCUCUCGCCCUUAGAUUAGCCCAAGUGGGAUUAGCUAGUUGGUGAGGUAAUGGCUCACCAAGGCGACGAUCCCUAGCUGGUUUGAGAGGAUGAUCAGCCACACUGGAACUGAGACACGGUCCAGACUCCUACGGGAGGCAGCAGUGGGGAAUAUUGCACAAUGGGCGCAAGCCUGAUGCAGCCAUGCCGCGUGUGUGAAGAAGGCCUUAGGGUUGUAAAGCACUUUCAGUAAGGAGGAAAGGUUAGUAGUUA